rnacentral:rRNA from 1 species
AGCAGCCGCGGUAAUUCCAGCUCCAAUAGCGUAUAUUAAAGUUGUUGCAGUUAAAAAGCUCGUAGUUGAAUUUCGGGAUCAAUAUGUUGGUCGUGCCUCGGUACGUACUAGCAUAUUGGUUUCUCCUUUCUGAAGAACCAUGAUGUCAUUCAUUUGGUGUCGUGGGGAAUCAGGACUGUUACUUUGAAAAAAUUAGAGUGUUUAAAGCAGGCUCACGCUUGAAUACAUAGCAUGGAAUAAUGAAAUAGGACGUUUGAUUCUAUUUUGUUGGUUUCUAGGAUCGACGUAAUGAUUAAUAGGGAUAGUUGGGGGCAUUAGUAUUCAAUUGUCUGAGGUGAAAUUCUUGGAUUUAUUGAAGACUAACUACUGCGAAAGCAUUUGCCAAGGAUGUUUUCAUUAAUCAUGAACGAAAGUUAGGGGAUCGAAGACGAUCAGAUACCGUCGUAGUCUUAACCAUAAACUAUGCCGACUAGGGAUGGAUGAUGUUAAUUUUUUAAUGACUCA